CAGGAAAUUACGCUCUUCUCUGCUGAGACGCUCAGGAGCUGUUCCAGGCCAAGGCUUGUGGCCAAAAGAGCUGCAUGGAGAACGUGACAAUUCAAGGACCUGCGCAGCGGAGUCAGAAUCAGGUGACCUGUGAAAAUCCAGAAAUGCUGGCGGGGAGGCAAGACAAGGAGGCCGGAGUACACCACCUGUCAUCUGGGAGCAGUGUUCAGGGCGGUGCUGACAAGGAAUGGCCAAACAGCAGCCCUCCCUCAGGUCUGUGUGUGCCUUCCACAGUUUUCAGAGCCCACUCCCCACAAAACACUCCCCCAGGGUCCAAGCCACAACUAUGUACCUCAUGACUGUUACUUAAGCCAUUUAUCAUCUGUACAACUCACUUAGGAUUUCAUCUCAUGCCAACUUUUGACACAUUUAGAGUUGUUUCAAUGUGUCUUUGUUUCCUGCAAAGAGACCGUGAAGUUCUUAAGGUCAUAACCUGAUCAGAAAUGUGAAAUCAUAUUUCUAAAGAUCACAUGCUAACUUGGGGUGGAGCCACUGCUCUGUGGUUUGAUGUGUGUCAGUUAAAUAAAUAGUAAAUAGUUCACUUAGACUGGGAGGGAGAGGUUCAGGGACCGUUCUGAAGUUAUUUUUCCCAAGUCCCUUGGGCAUGCAAUCCAAAAAAAUUAUUAAGCAUGAACACCCUUGGAAAUCUUGAAGUCAAAUUUUAAAAAUGAAAAGGGUAUAUUUUAGGUAGUGCCUCCAAAAUCAAUAGGUACAUUUGGGGAACAGGUUGAGACCAGCUUUGUUAUGUCGCCCAGGAGGAACUCAAUCUUUCCCCCUCAAUGCCCUAAUGCCAGGAUUAUGGGAGAAAGGUCUCGCUAGCAAUACACAAAUGAAUUUGAAAAUGUCCCUAAAUGGAGGCAAUUUGCAUCCCAAGUUCAGGGUGGGUGUUAAGUCUUUCAGGGCUAAGCUGUCCUAGAGCGUCCUUCCUGGAGACAAGCACCAGCUUAGUCCCUGAUGGUGACUUCUGAUUACACACACUCCUACAUUUUUCUCUUUUAACUAUGUUAGUGCAACCUUUUCUUGAUUAUGAGAAAUUCUUCCCUCUUUCUCAAACCUGCAAAUAUUUUCUCCAUGGCAUGUUGAUUCUUCUGUCUUGACAAGCCUGUGAUCGGGCAGGGAUUUCAGAGUCACAGUAUUUUUGCCUAGGUUCUGAUUGAGCAGGGAUUUCAAAGUCAUGGCAUUUUUGCCUUUGUGGAUGGGCUCCUUACAGUUCUGGGUGUGUCUGUGAUUUCAUUUUUACCUGUGCCUCGCCCCAUCUGUGGAACUCUCGCUUUCAUGCUUGGGUCAGGAGAACCCCUCACCAGUGACUUCUGUGGCACAUCAGGCUCCUCAUACCAGUGCCAUUCAGUUGGACAUCCCAGACAGGUGAAGAAUCCUGUCCUUGGUCUAAAGGACUUCUUGUGUUCCUGACCCCUACACACCCACUGAGAAUCAGUAUUGCCGCCAAUGACUAUAAGCAAAAGCAUCCUCACAAGUUCCCAACUGUCCCUAGGCAGAUGUGCAAGGCCAGUCCUGUCAGCUGCUCUAGAUGCUACCUGUACCUCUGUACCCCCAACAUAUCCACUCUCCCCACAGAGAGGAUGUUAGGGUAUCUGCUGACAGCUUCGUUUCUGAAAGCUUGUCAUUCUUUCAGAGUUUAUCUCACUUGAAAGUGAGCCAUGAACUUGUUUCCUCUUGGUUUGCUUGUUAUGAGAAAUGUUAGACCCCUCCACGGACAGAGUAGGAUUAACAAACUCCUGCAGAUUCUUUAACUUCAUCUCAACUAUUGUCAACUUACCCACAAUGCUGCUCUUUCUAUGUCCCAAUCCACCUACUACUGUCCUCUGUGCCACCAGAGAACUGUGAAGGAUAUCACACAUCAUUCACUGUAUGCACCUUCAGGUUUGGGAUAAACUUGUGCAUGCAUGCACGCCUGUUUGUGUGUGUAUACAUGUGUAAGAUGCAUAUGUGUGCACACAGGCCAGCAGUGAGCUGUGUCAUCUUCCCAUGUCUGCCAGCAUUCCUCGUGGCUGGUCAGACUUCAUUCCAUACAGUGUUAUAGCGUCAUCUGACUCGGCUUCCUCUGGGAUAAGACUGUGUGGACAAGAGUUGCUAAGAGGACUGCUUUUCAGCAGAAGGGCCCUUUCAACAGAGCUCUAUGGAUUUUGUAUACUUUGUUACUAGUCUGCUUCAUCUGCACUAGUUCAAUGCUCUGCAUGGGGCAGCUCGUAUCUUCACUCUCAGAUGGAAUGAAAUUGAAUUCAACAACAUCCAAAUAUCUUUGUGUAUCAGACUCUCUAGGCCAGAGGUUCUCGACUUUCCUAUUGUUUCAAUCCUUUAAUACAAUCCCACAUGUUGUGGUGACCGCCCCCAACCAUAUUUCAUUGCUAUUUCAUAACUGUAAUUUUGCCACUGCUAUGAAUUGUAAUGUAAAUAUCUGAUAGGUGACCCCAAAGGGGUCGUGACCACAGGUUGAGAGCCACUUCUCUAGACAUUGCCCACCAUGUUGGGAAUGCUGUUUUACACCUUGGUGAGGCUGUUCAUUUGGAACAGGUAUGUCCAUCUGCUGAGGCACUGUUGUGAGUGGCUGUCACCACCUUGGUACUUAAUGAAUUGUUGCUUUUCAGUUUUGUCUAUAGAAAUACCCAGAAAGUAGGGAGUGAUGUGUUGAGUCAGUUAAAGCUACAGAAGGUUGUAAAGCUGGUUCUGUCGCGAUUACUUUUUGUUUGUCGUCUGUUUUUCGAGACAGAAUUUCUCUGUGUAGCCCUAACUAACUGUCUUGGAACCUGCCUCUGCCUCCUGAGAUUAAAGGUGUACCACUGA